GUGUCAGCAGCCGCGGUAAUACGGAGGGUGCAAGCGUUAUCCGGAAUCAUUGGGUUUAAAGGGUCCGCAGGCGGAUUUAUAAGUCAGUGGUGAAAGCCUACAGCUCAACUGUAGAACUGCCAUUGAUACUGUAAGUCUUGAAUUCGGUCGAAGUGGGCGGAAUAUGACAUGUAGCGGUGAAAUGCUUAGAUAUGUCAUAGAACACCGAUAGCGAAGGCAGCUCACUAGGCCUGGAUUGACGCUCAGGGACGAAAGCGUGGGGAGCAAACAGGAUUAGAAACCCCAGUAGUCC
rnacentral:rRNA from 1 species